UACGGAAGGUGCGAGCGUUAAUCGGAAUUACUGGGCGUAAAGUGUGCGCAGGCGGCCAUGCAAGUCGAGUGUGAAAGCCCUGGGCUCAACCUGGGAAUUGCAGUGGAUACUGGGCGACUAGAGUGUGGUAGAGGAUAGUGGAAUUUCCGGUGUAGCAGUGAAAUGCGUAGAGAUCGGAAGGAACAUCUGUGGCGAAGGCGACUAUCUGGGCCAACACUGACACUGAGGCACGAAAGCGUGGGGAGCAAACAGG
rnacentral:rRNA from 1 species